GACGAACGCUGGCGGCGUGCUUAACACAUGCAAGUCGAACGGAAAGGCCCUGCUUUUGUGGGGUGCUCGAGUGGCGAACGGGUGAGUAACACGUGAGUAACCUGCCCCUGACUUUGGGAUAACUUCAGGAAACUGGGGCUAAUACCGGAUAGGAGCUCCUGCUGCAUGGUGGGGGUUGGAAAGUUUCGGCGGUUGGGGAUGGACUCGCGGCUUAUCAGCUUGUUGGUGGGGUAGUGGCUUACCAAGGCUUUGACGGGUAGCCGGCCUGAGAGGGUGACCGGCCACAUUGGGACGGAGAUACGGCCCAGACUCCUACGGGAGGCAGCAGUGGGGAAGAGUGCACAAUGGGCGGAAGCCUGAUGCAGCAACGCCGCGUGCGGGAUGACGGCCUUCGGGUUGUAAACCGCUUUCGCCUGUGACGAAGCGUGAGUGACGGUAAUGGGUAAAGAAGCACCGGCUAACUACGUG
rnacentral:rRNA from 1 species